AACUAAGUUUGUUCUUGGUAUGAGCUUUCGUGUGCAUGCACACUUCUUCAUGCACACGAAAGCUCAUACCAAGAACAUACCUGAAGUGUGCAUGCACACGAAAGCUCGUACCAAAAACAAACUUAGUUGG